UUUGGGAAAUGAUGAGAUGUAAACAGUUUAUCAUAGGCUAAAUUGUCUUUGCUAUGCUGAAUGACUUUUGCACGUCAGUCUGAUCCCAAA
rfam:Vitis vinifera, whole genome shotgun sequence of line PN40024, unoriented chromosome 7, chr7